rnacentral:rRNA from 1 species
UACGUAGGGUCCGAGCGUUGUCCGGAAUUACUGGGCGUAAAGAGCUCGUAGGCGGUUUGUCGCGUUGUUCGUGAAAACUCACAGCUUAACUGUGGGCGUGCGGGCGAUACGGGCAGACUUGAGUACUGCAGGGGAGACUGGAAUUCCUGGUGUAGCGGUGAAAUGCGCAGAUAUCAGGAGGAACACCGGUGGCGAAGGCGGGUCUCUGGGCAGUAACUGACGCUGAGGAGCGAAAGCGUGGGGAGCGAACAGG